CAAGCUAUAUUGCAAAUUAUGCUUGAGAAGCACAAAUGCUUAUUCUAUUGAUUUUCUAUAAUAGAAUACAAUUACAUGUCUAAGCCUAUGUUGAAGUUAUUUAAACUUGAGUAUGGGAGUGGUUUGUUAUCUAUUAGAGCAUGAUGACGACUCCCAUAUUGUCUUUGAGUUGCAAAAAUAUCUCAGAUUUAUAACUUACUUCUAUGUUUGAGUUGCUAAUAGGAAUAUUUCUACUCUUGCUUUACUUAUGUAACAUGUUGCUGAAUUGAUACUAUCAACCUGAAAUAUAGAUUGGUGAUAUGUUAGACUUGAAAAUAGUUGAGAAAGAAUUACAAAUGUGUUUCAUAAGGUAGGAAGGACCAUAUUGUGAAUGAAACAUAACAGAUGCCACUAUUGAAAUUGUUCUUAAAAAAUUAAGCAAAUAGGCUA
rnacentral:lncRNA from 1 species